UGAAUGUGGAAAAUUUUGGAGUGUCCAUUCAAUGCCUCCCUGGAGUCUCUGCCAAAGGAAAAAUUAGACACGACUAUGUCUGGAUCCGGCUACUACAUCUAUGAUGCUGUGGAUGUGGUGGCCUGAGCCCUCCAUGAAAUACUUCUUAUAAAAGCAGAACAGGGGUCCAUAAUGGAUGCAGGCCAGCUCAUGUUUCUCCCUUAGCAGGUUGCAAGUAAACCUCUAAUGAUUGUAGGGUCUAAUUAGCAACAGUGUCAACUCUUUUAACUGGAAAUAAUUGAUUAAAAACUUUCACUGUGAGAGGUAGGAAGAAGCAGGCUGUCUUUCUUUGUCUCUUCUUGAGCUCGAGGAAACUCCCUAGCACCCUUAAAGCAAACCUCCUUGCUCAAGGUGCAGCUCAGGUUUAGCCCCACAGCACUCCCUGGACAUGGAAUCUUCAGGAAUGGUUUAAACAUCACCAUGUGCUCUCUGAGGGCAGACAAGAAUGCCUGCUUCCUUAAGCGUGCAGAAUAGUAAACACUCCCCAAAUUGAACUUAUUCAGAUGAUGAAUAAUAUAGAGGGGAAAAAAUCUAAUUGCUGGGCAACUCAGUAUCCCCACCAGUUCGAAUCUGGGUUUUCUGCCUUCAAUUUCCAUGCUCAUUUCAUUUCCCAAUUAUGUCUCCCUUUUAGCUCCACCCAUUCCUAAGAAACACCCAAUUUAAAAAAAGCACUGGAGCUCACGUGUCACUGGAUGAGAAAAGAAACUCUGUGUCACAGCAUGUAAUUCUGAACUAUAUGAUUUUCCUAAAGGUCUUGGACUUCAGGUGAAAGACGUUCUGUCAGCCAGGAUUCAGGAACAUCCCUCAGGAAGAGAGAGCUACCUGCUGCUUUGUCUGUGUAUUGUGCCCAGAGAGAGAAAUAUGUAAUCAGACAGGUAUGAACUGACAAAAUUACACAAUCACUUUCUCUCACCUUUUCUUUGUCUCCAAAUAAAAUGUAAAGGAUCUGAGAGUAACCAAUAGCAUCACAUUUCUUCAUUAUUUUCUAUUAUUUCAUUCACUCAUUCAAUACAUUCAUUUAGGAAAUCAAU